rnacentral:antisense_RNA from 1 species
AUACGGAUUUGGGAAUCGCAGAAAUUAAACUUGCGGCAAUCCGUCCACACCGCCUAUUAACGUGGAACUAAAGUAGGCAUCAUUUUAUUUUGCU